rnacentral:tRNA from 1 species
GCCGCCGUAGCAUAGCCUGGUUAUUGCGCUAGACUCAUAAUCUAGAGGUCGCGGGCUCGAAUCCCGCCGGCGGCA